rnacentral:rRNA from 1 species
UGGGGAAUAUUGGACAAUGGGCGAAAGCCUGAUCCAGCAAUGCCGCGUGAGUGAUGAAGGCCUUAGGGUUGUAAAGCUCUUUUACCCGGGAUGAUAAUGACAGUACCGGGAGAAUAAGCCCCGGCUAACUCCGUGCCAGCAGCCGCGGUAAUACGAAGGGGGCUAGCGUUGUUCGGAAUUACUGGGCGUAAAGCGCACGUAGGCGGGUUUGUAAGUAGGGGGUGAAAUCCCUGGGCUCAACCCAGGAACUGCCUUCUAGACUGCAAGCCUGGAGGUCAGGAGAGGCGAGUGGAAUACCGAGUGUAGAGGUGAAAUUCGUAGAUAUUCGGUGGAACACCAGUGGCGAAGGCGACUCGCUGGAUUGAUACUGACGCUGAGGUGCGAAAGCGUGGGGAGCAAA